rnacentral:rRNA from 1 species
GGGGACGUAACAAAGCGACCCAGGAAUGCUUGGGCGUGCCUCCACCCACGCCGGCGUCGGCGGGCGUAUUUCGCCUCACAGUAGGUCGCCGCGACCCGUUGCUUUUGGGGACGUCGAAGGCCCGGACGGAUUGGUACCCUACCGGCUGGGGAUGCGGCUUCGGCUUCUCCUCUUGUCCGGUGGGCGAAACCGCCGGUGUCCUGGCUGCCCUGCGACGGUCGUAGAGACGAGCCCUCCCCAUUCGUGGGGGGCGGCUCUCGCGGCGUGCAAAAGGUCGGUGAUCCACCCGACCCGUCUUGAAACACGGACCAAGGAGUCUAACAUGUGUGCGAGUCAGUGGGCGCACUAAACCCAGAGGCGUAAUGAAAGUGACACGGGUUCGGCUGUCGCCUCGUGUGGCAGCCGGACUCAGGGCCGAUCCCUCACCGGUUGCCCUCGCCUCUCUCCCGCGUCUCGGUACGCCGGGUGAGCUAUUUUCCCCGGCCAAUGCUGCGGCUCGGGGGGAGGCGGGGUGCGAUGGUGUCCGUCAAAAAGAGCCUGCUGUUGCAGGGGGGCGCAGGCCCGGGACUUGCCAGGACGCCGCGAGACUGUCACUUUGCUGUGAGGCUCCAGGGUCGAUCAGCGGGUCAUGCGUGCAGUCGGCAAGUACCAUGAGCAGACAUGUUGGGACCCGAAAGAUGGUGAACUAUGCCUGGCCAGGAUGAAGCCAGAGGAAACUCUGGUGGAGGUCCGUAGCGAUUCUGACGUGCAAAUCGAUCGUCGGAGCUGGGUAUAGGGGCGA